GGGGGGAUCGAGUUCACUCCCAACCCCUGUGACAUACCACUUGUUGCCUCGGCGGAUCAGCCCGCUCCCGGUAAAACGGGACGGCCCGCCAGAGGACCCCUAAACUCUGUUUCUAUAUGUAACUUCUGAGUAAAACCAUAAAUAAAUCAAAACUUUCAACAACGGAUCUCUUGGUUCUGGCAUCGAUGAAGAACGCAGCAAAAUGCGAUAAGUAAUGUGAAUUGCAGAAUUCAGUGAAUCAUCGAAUCUUUGAACGCACAUUGCGCCCGCCAGUAUUCUGGCGGGCAUGCCUGUUCGAGCGUCAUUUCAACCCUCAAGCACAGCUUGGUGUUGGGACUCGCGUUAAUUCGCGUUCCUCAAAUUGAUUGGCGGUCACGUCGAGCUUCCAUAGCGUAGUAGUAAAACCCUCGUUACUGGUAAUCGUCGCGGCCACGCCGUUAAACCCCAACUUCUGAAUGUUGACCUCGGAUCAGGUAGGAAUACCCGCUGAACUUAAGCAUAUCAA
rnacentral:rRNA from 1 species